rnacentral:rRNA from 1 species
UGCAAGUCGAGCGGCAGCGGGUCCUUCGGGAUGCCGGCGAGCGGCGGACGGGUGAGUAAUGCCUAGGAAUCUGCCUGAUAGUGGGGGAUAACGUUCGGAAACGGACGCUAAUACCGCAUACGUCCUACGGGAGAAAGCGGGGGAUCUUCGGACCUCGCGCUAUCAGAUGAGCCUAGGUCGGAUUAGCUAGUUGGUGGGGUAAAGGCUCACCAAGGCGACGAUCCGUAACUGGUCUGAGAGGAUGAUCAGUCACACUGGAACUGAGACACGGUCCAGACUCCUACGGGAGGCAGCAGUGGGGAAUAUUGGACAAUGGGCGAAAGCCUGAUCCAGCCAUGCCGCGUGUGUGAAGAAGGUCUUCGGAUUGUAAAGCACU